rnacentral:rRNA from 1 species
UACGUAGGGGGCUAGCGUUGUCCGGAAUCAUUGGGCGUAAAGAGCGUGUAGGCGGCCCGGGUAAGUCCGCUGUAAAAGUCAAAGGCUCAACCUUUGAAUGUCAGUGGAUACUGCCGGGCUAGAGUCCGGAAGAGGCGAGUGGAACUCCUGGUGGUAGCGGUGGAAUGCGCAGAUAUCAGGAAGAACACCAACGGCGAAGGCAGCUCGCUGGGACGGUACUGACGCUGAGACGCGAAAGCGUGGGGAGCGAACAGG